ensembl:snRNA U6 U6 spliceosomal RNA
UGCUCAAUGUGGCAAUCCAACCACUACAUCUGAAAUGAUACAGAGAUUAGCAUGGCCUCUGUGCAAAGAUGGCAUGCAAAUUCAUGAAGCAUUCCAUAUUUUG